rnacentral:misc_RNA from 1 species
UUUCCGUAGGUGAACCUGCGGAAGGAUCAUUAUUGAAUAUUCUUGAUGGGUUGUAGCUGGCUCUUAGGGGCAUGUGCACACUUGUCUUGACUUUAUUCAUCCACCUGUGCACCCUUUGUAGUCUUGGGGGUUGAGAGCAGUCGACUAUCGGAUGGCUAUGGCUUUUCCGGACAUGAGGAUUACUGAGUGCGCAAGCAUACAGCUCUUCUCAAAUGGCUUGCAAAACCUCUCCCUCGAGUACUAUGUAUUCAUAUACCACAUAGUAUGUUGAAGAAUGUGAUCAAUGGGCCUAUGUGCCUAUAACAAUCAUAUACAACUUUCAGCAACGGAUCUCUUGGCUCUC